rnacentral:rRNA from 1 species
ACGAACGCUGGCGGCAGGCCUAACACAUGCAAGUCGAGCGCCGUAGCAAUACGGAGCGGCAGACGGGUGCGUAACGCGUGGGAACCUUCCCUGUGGUUCGGAAUAGCUCAGGGAAACUUGAGGUAAUACCGCAUACGCUCUUCGGGGGAAAGAUUUAUCGCCAUGGGAUGAGCCCGCGUCGGAUUAGCUAGUUGGUGAGGUAACGGCUCACCAAGGCGACGAUCCGUAGCUGGUCUGAGAGGAUGAUCAGCCACACUGGGACUGAGACACGGCCCAGACUCCUACGGGAGGCAGCAGUGGGGAAUAUUGGACAAUGGGCGAAAGCCUGAUCCAGCAAUGCCGCGUGAGUGACGAAGGUCUUCGGAUUGUAAAGCUCUUUUGGCGGGGAUGAUAAUGACGGUACCGGGAGAAUAAGCCCCGGCUAACUUCGU